rnacentral:lncRNA from 1 species
CUUAAGAAGGGUCUUUGCUAGAGAGUUGGUAAGGGGGAUAAAAUUAGUAUUAUGGAGGACGCUUGGAUUCCAGGUGUUGCAAAUUACAAGAUCAGUGGAACGAUUAGUAGAAAUGGUAUUUUCUGAAGUAUCAGAUUUAAUUGACAGCUCGAAUAGAACUUAGAGAGUUGGGUUGAUUCGGAAUACCCUUUUUAUAGAGGGCACAGACAGAAUUCUACGAAUCCCUUUAGCCACAAUAGAGAACGAUGAUCUGCUGGUGUGGAAAGGAGAAACUUCGAGCGAAUUUACAGUUAGGAGUGCAUACAAACUAUUGUUCAACAUCCCUACUGUUUCUAGUGCUAAUGAGAUACAGGAUUAAAUGAAACCUUUUUACAAAAAAUUAUGGAGCCUUAAUCUCACAGCAAAGCAAAAGAUUACAACGUGGAAAGUCUCUUGGGACUUUCUGCCUACCCUAACCAAUCUAUAGUGCAGACAACUCAGAUCAAGUACAGUAUGCCCAAGGUAUGGUUUGGGAGUGGAAACCUCUGUGCAUGUAUCUCGAGAAUGUCCUGUUUCAAUAGAAUUGUGGACAUAUUUAAACCUGGCUUGGGUGUUAUCUAAACCCAAUCUGGGUAACUGGGAGUGGCUCACCUGGGUGUUUGAAGAUGGUUCGAACAAACAAUGUCGAUUAUUCUGCUAUGCACUUUGGGUUAUCUGGAGUGAAAGAAACAAAAAAAUUCAUGAGGACGGAACAGUUCUGGAAAGGAAAUUGCAAACAAAAUAAUGAGUAUUGUGCUGGAGAAUGAAGCCCUUAGUAACAGAAGCCUUACCAAACACUUUUCCUCUUUGGAAUGUUGACUCCAAGAGAAUCAUGUGGUUCGCAUUAAUUUUUAUGCGGCUUUUAGCCAACAAAUUUUCAAAUCUGCUUCGGGGUUGGUGGCUAGGAAUGAAAGGGGGGAGGUAAUUGUCUCCAAUCGGUUCUGGCGAAUCGAAUAGCCUCUUUACUUGCUGCGGAAGCUUUUGCAUGCUCUCAAGCAGUGAGGUUGGGGAUGGGGAUAGGUGUGGAUGCAGUAGAAAUCAAAGGGGAUGCAUUGACAGUUAUCAAAAAGUGUUAGUCCAAUGUUGAAGAUAAGUCGAAAAUAGGAGCUUAUAUUAAAGAUAUUCACCAAAAUAAGAAUCAUUUCCACAAGAUCUAUUUUAGACAUAUAUCAAGAUGCGCAAACCAAACGGCACAUAUUAUCGCCAUAGAAAGCCUUAAGAGAGGCGAGCAGGUUUACCUGGAACAGGCAGUGCCACCUUAUGCCAUGCCUUCGCUGGGGUUAGGACUAGAACCAGACUGAAGAGACGGAGUGAUUUUUUCACAAACGGAGAAGAUGCUCAAUGGUUUUUUUUUUCUCUUAACAGCAUUAGAAGUCUCUGGAGGAUUGCAACUGACAACAAAAAGUACAUUUUGGGAAGCGAGGGUGGCAGUCUAUUAAAUCGACUGGACAGGGGGACGUUUUAGUUUCCUUUUUUUUUUCUCUUUUUUUCUGCUGUUUCAUUUUUUCCUAGUGGGCCUCCCUGCUAGGUUUGUCUUUUUAAGCUUGCUUUUGUUUUCGAUGGGCUCUCUUAUUUGGGCUUAGUUUAUUCUUUAUAAAAUCUAGUCUUAC